CCUACGGGAGGCAGCAGUAGGGAAUCUUCCGCAAUGGACGAAAGUCUGACGGAGCAACGCCGCGUGAGCGAUGAAGGCCUUCGGGUCGUAAAGCUCUGUUGUCAGGGAAGAACAAGUAUCGGAGUAACUGCCGGUACCUUGACGGUACCUGACCAGAAAGCCACGGCUAACUACGUGCCAGCAGCCGCGGUAAUACGUAGUGGCAAGCGUUGUCCGGAAUUAUUGGGCGUAAAGCGCGCGCAGGCGGUUCCUUAAGUCUGAUGUGAAAGCCCCCGGCUCAACCGGGGGAGGGUCAUUGGAAACUGGGGAACUUGAGUGCAGAAGAGGAGAGCGGAAUUCCACGUGUAGCGGUGAAAUGCGUAGAGAUGUGGAUGCUCUGAACACCAGUGGGCGAAUGAUAGCGGCUCUCUGGUCUGUAACUGACGCUGAGGCGCGAAAGCGUGGGGAGCGAACAGGAUUAGAUACCCUGGUAGUCCACGCCGUAAACGAUGAGUGCUAAGUGUUAGAGGGUUUCCGCCCUUUAGUGCUGCAGCAAACGCAUUAAGCACUCCGCCUGGGGAGUACGGCCGCAAGGCUGAAACUCAAAGGAAUUGACGGGGGCCCGCACAAGCGGUGGAGCAUGUGGUUUAAUUCGAAGCAACGCGAAGAACCUUAC
rnacentral:rRNA from 1 species